CUCGGCGGAGCAGGCCAUGGUGCAGCUGUGCGGGCCGAGGCGGGGCCAGGCGCUUCUUGCCCUGCUGGCAUCACUGCUCCUCUCCGAGGUCCUAGAGGCCGACGGAGAAUGCGGCAUCCACGACUUUUGCCUGUCUUCGAAGGUGGUGGGCAGAUGCCGGGCCUCCAUGCCUAGGUGGUGGUACAAUGGCACUGACGGGUCCUGUCAGCUGUUUGUGUAUGGGGGCUGUGAUGGAAACAGCAAUAAUCACCUGAGCAAGGAGGAGUGUCUCCAGAAAUGUGCUGCUGUCACAGAGAAUGCCAUGGGUGACCUGGCCACCAGCAGGAAUGCAGCAGAUUCCUCUGUCCCAAGUGCUCCCAGAAGGCAGGACUCUGAUGACCACUCCAGCGAUAUGUUCAACUACGAAGAAUACUGCACCGCCAAGGCAGUCACUGGGCCUUGCCGUGUGGCCUUCCCACGCUGGUACUUUGACGUGGAGAGGAACUCCUCCGACAACUUCAUCUAUGGAGGGUGCCCGGGCAAUAAGAGCAGCUACCUCUCUGAGGAGGCGUGCAUGCUCCGCUGCUUCCGCAAGCAGGUGGAUUCUUCCCUGCCGCUUGGCACAAAGGUGGUGGUUCUGGUGGGGCUGUUUGUCAUGGUGCUGAUCCUCUUUCUGGGAGCCUCCAUGGUCUACCUGAUUCGGGUGGCGUGGAGGAACCAGGAGCAGGCCCUGCAUACCAUCUGGAGCUCUGGAGACAAUGAGGAGCACCUGGUGUAGAACACAUAUGUCCUGUGACUGCCCUGUUGCCAAGAGGACCAGGGAAGGGAGGGGAGACUAUGUGUGUGCGUUUUCAAAAGAGAGCGAUUGACUUGGAUUUGUGCGAUCAUUAGGGCUGAGGUCUGUUUCUCUGGGAGGUAGGAAGCUCUUCCUGGUCUGGUGGGGAUGGGGUGCUUUGGAAGUCCUCUAGGGAGGCUGCUCCUCACGUGUGUAGCCUGUGGUCUGGCAGCAGCCCUGAGUUGUUUCCUCACUGGUAGAUUUCUUUCCUCCAGGUAAAGUUUUCUUUGCUUAUGUUGAAUUCCAUGGCCCUUUUUCUCAUCACAAAAGUGAUGUUAUAAUCGUUUCUUUUGUUUGUCUGAUUUUUGUGUUUUUUAAAGCGUAAACAGAAGUUUUUUAUUAGCAUUCCUGAAAGUAAAAUGUACGAGUUUAAUAAAAAGGGGCCUUCCCCUUUAA